rnacentral:rRNA from 1 species
UACAGAGGGGGCAAGCGUUAUCCGGAAUUAUUGGGCGUAAAGAGCUCGUAGGCGGUGUGUCACGUCGGCCGUGAAAACCUGCAGCUUAACUGUGGGCGUGCGGUCGAUACGGGCAUCACUGGAGUUCGGCAGGGGGGACUGGAAUUCCUGGUGUAGCGGUGAAAUGCGCAGAUAUCAGGAGGAACACCGGUGGCGAAGGCGGGUCUCUGGGCCGAUACUGACGCUGAGGAGCGAAAGCGUGGGGAGCAAACAGG